rnacentral:rRNA from 1 species
UCCGGGGGGGGCAAGCGUUGUUCGGAAUUACUGGGCGUAAAGGGCUCGUAGGCGGCCAACUAAGUCAGACGUGAAAUCCCUCGGCUUAACCGGGGAACUGCGUCUGAUACUGGAUGGCUUGAAUCCGGGAGAGGGGUGCGGAAUUCCAGGUGUAGCGGUGAAAUGCGUAGAUAUCUGGAGGAACACCGGUGGCGAAGGCGGCAUCCUGGACCGGCAUUGACGCUGAGGAGCGAAAGCCAGGGGAGCAAACGGG